AAGCGCAAAUGAAAUAUAUGUCAAGGGCCUCUCUAUAUUUAAAAAGCUGAUGGGGCAAUAAGGGAAUGCCAGAUCAGCAUCUCCAGUCCAGUCGGACCUCUCCGGACCCCACAAAGUGAUGACGUGGCUUGGUAAACGAUACUAUGUGGCUGCUGACCAUGAAAGCCGUUACACCCUCAGAGACUCUAAUGUCUUCCAUCUUCAAUUCUUGCAACCUCCGCACAUACUCUGGCACGU
rnacentral:misc_RNA from 1 species